CCUACGGGUGGCUGCAGUAAGGAAUAUUGGUCAAUGGAGGAAACUCUGAACCAGCCAUCCCGCGUGAAGGAUGAAGGGGCUCUGCCUUGUAAACUUCUUUUGUCUGGGGCGAAAAAGCUCGAUUUAUCGAGAACUGACGGUACCAGAAGAAUAAGCACCGGCUAACUCAGUGCAAGCAGCCGCGGUAAUACGGAGGGUGCAGGCGUUAUUGGGUAUCAAGGGGGCGUAGGCGGGUGUGGAAGUCUGUGGUGAAAGGCUGUGGCUUAACCAUGGAAUUGCCAUUGAUACUGCAGAGCUUGAAUGAGGUUGAGGUUGGCGGAAUGUGACAUGUAGCGGUGAAAUGCUUAGAUAUGUCAUGGAACACCGAUUGCGAAGGCAGCUGACUGGACCUAUAUUGACGCUGAGGCACGAAAGCGUGGGGAGCGAACAGGAUUAGAUACCCUAGUAGUC
rnacentral:rRNA from 1 species